AGAGUUGCUUUCGAGAGGAGUGUGUAUGUCGUUUCUUAUUUCAGGGUGUAAAAAUGGCAGUAAUUGCUUUAAUUUGUUUGCAGUCAAGUCAGGUGAGAGGUGAGAGCCGAGACUAUGCUUAUAAAGGAUCACCAUCUGGCGGUGAAUCUGACCCCACCUAUCCUAUGGACUCUCACUUUUACUUUCUUUUUUUUUGUUUUUUGUUUUAUUCGUUUACCUUUCUAAAUUGGCCCUAAAUAAUUUUAAAAAAUCAUGCUCUUCUCAUUUUAAUUUGUUUUUCAUAAAUAUGUCUGAAAAAUUAAAAUUGGAAGUGGAAAAAGUGAUUUUUUAAAAAUAGAUUGAAGAAAUAAGAUAAAGCUAAUUGAAACACUUAAUAUACUAUUUUGGUUAAGUUUUUCGAAACAAUAUUGCCAGUACUGUUUUAUGUUAUGUACUAUUUAUACAAGUUGUUUCUUUUUCUUUUUUAAAAAAAUGAGAAAAAGGAGAUUACAACAUGGUAAAUUGAACUCCUAUUAAUUAAAAAUAUAGUUUGACAAGCAUAAACUAGAAAUACUUAACUAGGGAUGAAAUGACAAAUUAAAGCUAUUUUUCAUUACAUGCAUUCUUAUUUUGUCCAUCCAGCAUGUUCGUUUUUUCAUAAUGCAAGUACCUAGUACAUUUUUUCCUUUCGGAAAAAAUGAAAACAGUGCGUACAUCUUUUCCCUUGUUAUUAUUUCUUCACAUGCUAACCAAAUGUUCCUUUUUUUAUACUUCAAAUUAAUUUACUUCCGUGCAUUUCAAUUUUAAUCAAGUGGAUACUCUCUUCUUUUUAAUCUAUAUGUCGUUUUACGUUUUUCAGUAAUUAAUUAAACAAAUCUUUGCAAUUAAAUUAAGUUAAAUGAAUUAAGCAAUAUAUAACAAUUGCAAAGUAAUGGGAUUGCGUAAUCGAGGUGAGUGUGGGGAAUAAUGUAGACCGGCGGGCCUACUCAGGAUGGUCUAUGUAUAUACAACAUACAGAGUGACUGCAGGAUUAGAGAGUGGCGCAGUCGUUUUUAUUUUUGGUGUUGGAGUUGCUUGGGCUAUACCUAUAUGGUGGGUUAUGUGGUCACCUGCAACUUGCUUGGAACCCCGUUAGAAGACGGAGUCAGAACUAAAAAUUUGGGGUUCUAAAUUUUAAGAUUCAAAUCAGUAACUUCAGUGUGAAAAGUAUUUUCAUAAUAUUUCUUCUCACUAAAUCGUUAAUUAAUUUUAUGAGAAGUAAACAAGUUAAUUUACAUUUAUAUUUAUAUAAUUUUCUAAUAUACAUAUAUGAUCAACGAAAAUGUUACUGAAUUCAUUCGCGAACCCUAGUUAACUUCGCCUCUGACCCAGUACUGAGUCAGUCUCCUCCUCCGCGUGCUGUCCGCUUUUGGUGUAAUGUGCGGCCUUCUUAAGCUUCCUCAAUCCUCUCUCUCCCUUUCACCCGACAACGCCCUGCACCUUCUGACUCUAAUAUCCAUCCCAUCUCCUUUUAUUUUACCACCUAGCACUUCCUCCUUUUAAUUACCUUGUCAUCACACUUUAUACUAGUUAGUCUGGUUUAUUACUAAAUACUCCCUCUGUCCCAAUUUAUAUGACUCACUUUCCUUUUUAGUCAGUCCCAAAAAGAAUGACACAUUUCUAUUUUAAGUAACAAUUUGCCUAUAAAAUGUCUUUUUUACCCUUAAUGAAAUGAUUUACAACCACACAAAUUUCUAUCAUUCAUUUUUUACCACAAGUUUUAAAAGUCUUUCCAUUUUUCUUAAAGUUUGUGCCAAAUCAAAGUACAUCAUAUAAAAUGGGACGGAGGGAGUAAUAAAUAGACAUAGUCUAUUAUUUUUAUAUACAAUUUUUAAGAUCUUAUAUAUGUUUAAUCAAAAUUUAUUUAUAAUUUACUUAUUAAUAGUAAAAAUGCCUAAGGUGAGAAUAUUUAUUUUAUUGGUUUUAUUUAUACGAGUCUCUAUGUUAAUUCUUUGUGGGACUGAAAAUGUCACUGUCUCACCCUUCUAGGCCAAAAUAGUGAAUUUUGAAGCUUUAUUCAUAGUAAACUCAGUGAUCGAAAGUUCUGUAACGUCAGUCAUACUAACUAUUUUUCGUUUUGAAUGAAUUGCCGUCACUUUUUUCACGUUUUGAAUAAAUUGUUUCUUUUAUUUUUGUGUAUGGUUAAUACUUUUUAGUCAGUCCCAAAAAGAAUGACACAUUUCUAUUUUAAGUAACAAUUUGCCUAUAAAAUGUCUUUUUUACCCUUAAUGAAAUGAUUUACAACCACACAAAUUUCUAUCAUUCAUUUUUUACCACAAGUUUUAAAAGUCUUUCCAUUUUUCUUAAAGUUUGUGCCAAAUCAAAGUACAUCAUAUAAAAUGGGACGGAGGGAGUAACAUAAUUAGUUUUAUACAUAUAUCUCAAGAGGAUAGUAUAUAGUAUACAAUUUAAUUAUACUUUGUGAAAUUAGAAAAAAAUAUUUUUGAUAACCAUCGAUUUUUAUAUAACAUAUCAAACUUAAAUGUCAAAAGAAAAAGUAACAAUAAAAAAGAGAUGUUAAAAACAAUAGGAAAAUAGAAUGUUAGGGAUAACAAAUUGAACAGUAACAAAUAUUACUCCUCGGUAUGUUCAUAAAUUAUUUUUCUUAAAAUAAAUAAAAAUUGUAAAGUUGAAUUAUAUAUUUAUACAAAAGAAGUACACUAUUGUUUAAUAAGAUAAUAAGGGUUGUUUGAUUGGAAACAAGUUAUCGCAAGAUGGAAUAACUAUCCAUCAUUAUGAUAUACAAAAUAGUAUGAUAAAUUAUUUCAAACAUGACAACAAAACAAGAUAUACAAAUUUUUUAUCCAUAAUUAUUUAUUACUCUAUCACUAUUUAUUUUUAUAUGUUGCGCCAAGAAUUAGUGAGCCUGCCUUUGUACACACUCACUCUACAUACUGCCAAAAUGUUAACCACACUGUAUACGACUGUGGUUUUUCACUUUUCAUCUGACUCCCAAUUUUGUCCUUAACGGAGUAACCUUUUUUCAUUUUUUAGAGUGCAAAAAGAGAGAAUUGUUUGUUUAUGCCACUACCUCCAUGCUCACCAGGUCUUGGAUUUUGGCCAAAGCAUUAACUUUCUGGUCACUGCUAAACAAUGCUACAGUCGCAAUGUUCUUCACUAUGUAACAGCUGAAGUGAAGAUGUGGCAAGCUGGCUCCUGCUCCCUGCUGGAAAGUUAUAUUAAGCAAAUUUAUUAAAUAAUGAAAAUUGGAAUCAUAUAAACUAAUUGAAAUGUGAUAGAAACUUAUGUUCGGUUUCAAUUCAAAUAUUUUAGUUUGAUUGAAUACGUAACUUAAGGUCAAAAUCUUAUUAAAGAGAUGGCGAGUAAUUCUUUAAAUUUUGUGGUACUAUUAUGUUUGUCAAAUAGAUGGCUGAAAUUAGAAUACUUAGGUACAAUCAACCUAAAAAUAAAAGUAAAAUACCUAAAUUGGAUUGGAGGAAAUAAUACUCAAGCUAGUUGUUACUCCAAUACUAGUAGGCUUAGUUUUUUAGCAAAUGCAAAUUCAUGAGAAAUUUAUAUUAUAUAACAUGAAAUUUGUUAGUGAAACGCAAAAAAAUAGAUUGUUACUAAAAUGCUAGAAAAGCUUUCUAACUUUUUCUUGUAAAAAAAUAAAUAUAUUUUUCUCUUAGUGAUUCAAUCAAUAUAUCUAUAAAAAUAAUCAAUCCAAAUUGUUUUUUUGUGAAAUUUUCAAUAAAGAAGUAGUAAUUUUUUUUAGUGGUGCAAGUUCUAUCCUUUUAUAAUGUGGUGAGUAGCUAAAAUUGACAAUUCUUUUUAAUUAUUAUUAAAACACCAUAAAAGUUUCGAUAACCGAACAAACAUUUCCCAUUCUUUAUCAUAUUUUUAUCCCAAACAUUCUAAAAAUUACUGCAUGCUUGGAAUUAAAAAUAUCAAACUUCCAUAGCUUGGGAGAUGAACCCUUACACAAAUAUUGAUAAGUUAAAAAAUACAACACUUUUGAAGACGCCCAUGUCCAAAAUGCUUCUCCAAUUUUUUAAUAUAAAUGCAUAAACUUCAUAAUCAUGCUUUAUGCUCCCGUGCUUAUUUACUGUGGCUGUUUCUCCAUUCAAAUUACAACUUUCUAAAUGUUUGCUAGUAGUAUUACUUCGUGGCGUCGUUUGGAUUGAUAUAAAAUUUAAUAGAAGAUAUUUUAAGGUAUUAUACAUAUAUAUGCCUUUUAAUUUGGUCUUAGCCAUAAUUUUUAUUCUCUCGAUUUUUGAUGUGUACAAGUGAAUACUUAAGUUUAUAUAAUAUUGAACAAUUAGACACAUGUGUUCUAUCUGACAUAAAAUACGUGGAAACAUGUAUCUACUUGUUUAAAUCAAUCUAAGUUCAGGUGUGCCCUACUUAUGAAAAUUUAAAGUUGGAAGACAUAAACAUCAAAUGAGGUCAAGUUAAAGGGUGCAAACAAAUUAUAGAUAUUUGUGUGUGGAGUAUAACUGAUUUAAUUGAUGAUAAAAAUCAAAUUGUUCUAAAUUAUGUGGGGUUACAUUUUUUGUGACCAAACUAAAAAAUGUGCCACAAAAAUUUAGACGGAAAGAGUAUAUUAUAAUUAUUGACAACUUAUGAUAUCUUUUGGCCUAGAAAUUCUAAAUGUAUACUUGAAAUUAAAACUUUAGGCAACUAGUCAAUAAUCUAAUAAUUCGUGCGCUUCCUAAAAGUUUAAUUAAUUAGGACACAAUUGCGUCCUCUUCAUGUCACGUUUGUGCUUCAAAAUAUUAGUGGCAUUGAUACAUUGCUCGAGAUCACAAUUAUUUUGCCUUUUUAUUGUCUGAUUAGCUCUUAUGAGUGCAAUAUAAUACAGAAUUCAAUAGAAAUGUAAUUAUUUGUCUACCUAUAUUCUAUAGUCAUCCAAGGUUACUCCAUAGUCUCAUAAUUUCAUUUGUGAGAAUGCGGGUAACUAAUUAUAGCGCUUUCGUUUUUUUUAAAUAAAUAAAUCAGAGUGAUAAAUUAAUGAUUAAAUUUUAAUGGGUCGUGAAGAGAAUGUCUGUUAAUUACAGUACAACUAUGGUGUUUAUUCCCUCGUAUUAUUUUUACUUGUCACUUAUUUCUAAAAUAAAUUUUUAUUUGUCACUUUUGAUAUAUCAAGAAAAGAUAAUAAUUUUUUUCCAUUAGCAUGAAACUUACUCUUUCCGUUCACUUUUACUUGUCAUUUUUCUCUAAUAUAGAUUUUCAUUUUUACUUGUCAUUUUUGACAUAUCAAGAGUGGAGUAAUAUUUUUCCAUGUUUACCUCAACAUUAAAUACUCUUUCUUCAAAUCAUUUUUCAAGACUUAAUACUAAACAUAAUUUAAUUAUGGAUUGUUUGAUAAAUACCUAUAUCAAUAAUCAUUUUCUUAAUGGGUGUGUCAAGUCAAAACGUGACAAAUAAAAGUGAAUAGAGGGCGUAUUUUUCAAAUCAUUUUCUCAGACAUCAUUUAAUAAAAGAUAUUUUAAUAAAAUACUUAUAUUAUUAAUUAUUUUUCUUAAUGGGUGUACCAGAUCAGACCGUGACAAGUAAAGCGAAUGAAGGGAAUAUAUUUUAAGAUUAGUGUAGUGCAAAGAUAAUUGAGACUAAGAAAAAAUUGUAUGUUUCCAACUUAGUCACUAUGAACAAAAGCAUAAUUUUAUGUUGAAUGAAGGUGUUUUUUUUUAUAAAGUGUUGGACUAUUUAACUAAUUUGAAGUUGCUUAAGUAACAAAAUGUUAUUGACUUGUUAGGUCGUUGUAUUCAAAUGGGGAUAGAUAAAAAAUCAUUCUAUUGGAUUGAUGUAUAUUAUGCUGGAGUAGGCAUGAAUAUAAAUUUAUUUAUUUUUGUCAUUUUAAUUAUCAAUUUAUUUAUUGUAAUUUGUGAUAUAUUCAUCAAAGGACUAUGGACUUGAUCGAUGUUCAUUUCUGAUCACUCUAAAUAUUCUUUUGAUUGAUAAUAUAUUUCACAAAAGAAGUGUACAAUUAUUUUUUUGUAAAAACGUAUCUAAUGUAAAUAGUUGAACAAAGAUGUCAUAAUCUAUAAUUUGAAACUUCUAUAAAUUUAUUUUUAUAAUGUAGAUGUGAGCUUAUAAGCUCAAUUGGUACCCACUACCCAACUUUGGAAUGUUACUCCGUAAAUAUAAACUUGAUUUUUUUAGUUGUAGUGUCAAAUAAUUUGUAUUCAUAAUUUGCAUCCUAUCGGUGAAUGUUAUCGUACAUGUAAAGCAAGAACCUUCAAAAAAUCUCAAAUAAUUCAAUUCAAAUUAAUUUUUCUUUUCGGAGAGGAUACAAUGACAUAUUUAGUUUUUUUCAAAAAAUAUUUUUUAUCAUCAUUCAAUCUUAUAUGAAAUAAUAGACUCGUCCAGAAAUCAAACAUAUCCCCUCCCAGGUUUUGUCAUUGUCGUUUGCCGACUAUUAUUAUAAUAUAUUGCGAUUUUCAUUAUAUACAAAGAAAUAACUCAUUUCGGGUUUCAAAGAAGAAACUCAUACCUAUACAUAUAGAAACUGUUCGGAGCAACAUGAUAAGAAAAAUAAAUUAUCAAUUUGAAAAUGUCAGAAAACAGAAUUUGUGAAUUUGUCGUUUGAUAUUUCUACAGUUUGAUGUGAAUUAUAUGUUUGACUGAAGUUUAAACAAAAAUGAAUGAACACGUAUAAAAUGUAAAUUAUCACGUACAAGUAUCACUUAAAUGGUUGUCCACUAUCUCUACCCUUCAAUCUCCUUAACAAGAGUUUGUCUUGCAAUUGAUUUAAAUGGGCCCAUCUUCCAAGUUGUUCUUCUUUUUGAUUGGAUGAAAUCAAUUGUUUGUAAAAUAGGCCCAACCCUCAUUCCAUUGACUCAUUAUAUGUUCCAACAACCGUUUUCAUACGUAAAGAUAUAUAUUAUUUAGACGGAUACAUUUUACGAAAAAGUAUAUUUUUCUCAUUGUUUGAGACUUGCUCACAUUUUAUGAUAAGUAUAUUUUUCUCAUUGUUUGGACUUGCUCACGUUUUAUGAAAAGUACUAUUAUAUUUUUUCUCAUUAUUUGGGAAAAGUACAUUUUUUCUCAUUGUUUGGGACUUGAGUUAUUUUGUAUCAUAAUAUAACAACAAACCUAGUGUAAUAUUGUGGGAUAUAAACUUACCAUUCCUCUUUGUUUCAUGUCCAUUUAUCAUUCACCCAUUUUCAUUUAUUCUCCCCCCGUAACAAGAGCUAACAAUUUGAAUGCAGCAAGGCUUCAGUGUUGCAAUAAGUUUUAUGGAGAAUCUAUAGGCAAAUGUAGCUUUCAUUCCAAGUAGUUACAAAAUGGAGGAGCAGAAGAAAGAAGCUUCACCCACGUAGUUACAGUAAUUAGUCACUCAAGAAUCUAAAUUUCUCGUGAUACAUAUUGUGUUUUCCCUAACUGUCAGCUAAUGCCAGCCUCUGUUUAUGAGUAUCAGUUGGCAACUUGACAUCAGUGGCCAAUCCAAUAGCUUGAAGAAAUCUUACGACAUACCAAGUCAUGUCAAGUUGCCACCAUUUUAAUCCAUGCCUAGCCGAAUACUCAAACGCAUGGUGGUUGUUAUGCCAACCUUCUCCAAAUGCAAGCAAUGCCACCCACCUAUAUUAUACAAAUUAUUUUGAUGAAGUCCCCAAAUAUGGACAAAAAGAAAAGAAGCAACAAGACAAAUAAAUUUAAACGUUUAUACACUAAAGUAUAAAACUAAACAAGCUUACCAGUUGUUCCUUGAUAAGUCACCAGUAUUCCACGCCUGAUUUCCCCAUACAUGGCAUGCUGAAUUUACUAGCCAAGUUAUGUGGUAUACCCACACAAUUCUCACCCCCUGCACACGCAGGGAAUUUAGCAAUUGAAUUUUCAGAAUCUCAUUGCACCAAAUGCAUAUAACCCAGAAUUUUGCCUAUGUUACUAUCAGAUAAUCAUCCAAGUACUAGUUUUAACUUUUUCAAGACUCUUGCAAGUUUGAUUUCGGAAAGUCAUUCUGAUCAAUUCUUGAAAGGUACUAGAAUUUAUCUUGGUUAACUAUUUCUUUCACCCUUCAAGGGCAGAACUAUCGUUGAACAUCAUUUAACUACUACAGUUAAUUACCAGUGAGAUCCAAAAGACAUGUUGUAUGGAACAGCAACAAAUUACACUUGAUUUUGUCCAGUAGUUCGUUAAGAAAACAAAAGACCCUACCAACAGAUAACACAGAAACUUUCUUCCACAAAAUUGGCUCACAACUUGAGUUAGGCAGGGGAAAGAUCCAAAACCAUUAGGAGAUUUGACACAUGAAGAAAACAGUAGUCUAAUGAGAGAUGCAACUGUAGUUUUCUUCCGCAAAAUUGGUUCACAACUUGCCAUUGGGAGAUUUGACACAUAAAGAAAAUACAAUACACAAAAUCGGGUCACAAACUAGGCUGGUGGACAUAUACAAACACAUUUGGAGAUUUUAACUGAUAACAAAGCUUGCUUAACAAUAUCUUAAAUACCCAAAAGACUAAAAAGAAAAACAAGCUUAUUCAAAUUGUAAAUUGUAUUUCCUCAUUUGUACACAUGAUAUCUCAAUCUUUAUGGUAGUGUUAUGUGAAAAAAUGUAAUUUUUAUCAACCAAUUUUCAUUUUAUCCCAAUUAAUAGUUUUCCCAAAAUGUUAAAAAGGGGAAAAUGAAAGCUUUCUCCAUGAAUGGAGUUGUGCAAACUAAGAAAAGCUCCACUUACCAUCCCCCAAACAAUGUAAGGAAAUCCUCCCAUUGCAUACAACAGAGCUGCAAGCGCGAUGGGAUGGAUCACAUAAGUAUCACGAAUGAACUGAUAGAAACCUUGCUUCUCCAAAUCCCCCACAUUGUUGGGCUUCCCACACUACACAUAAAUAGAACAUCAGUACUCAAGAAUUCCUUCCAUUUCAUAAGUAGGCAAAUAGAUUAUAGAAUGAAAAACUUACCCUCUCAGUAAGGGUGUUGGUAUCAAACAUCCAACUCAUAUGACUGAACCAAAAUCCUUCAUAAGGACUGUGAGGGUCUUUCUCUGAAUCACAAAACUGAUGGUGGUACCUAUGAGUACUCACCCAAUCAAUUGGAUGUCCCUACAAUCACACAUGACAUAGUAAAUUCAAAUGCCUAAUACAAGAAAAUAAGAAAGAAUACUUGUAGUGGGUUUAUUGAAUUACCUGAAGUGCUUGGGCACCACAAUAGGCAAAAAAGUACUCAAGCCAUUUGGGAAGUUUGAAGCUUCUAUGAGAGAGGUUUCUGUGAAAAGAAAGUGUAAUACCCAAAAGUCCAGUGAUUAUAUAUAACCCAAAUGCAAUCCCAAGAGCAGCGUAAUUGAAAGUAAAUGGUGCAAAUAGACAGAGCAAAUGCAUAGAAACCACCACCGCAGCUGAGGCCAUAUCCACUGAAUUCCAUUUCCUACCCCAAAGCACCUCCCUAGGCCGGGUCACCACUACAUCAGAAAGAAGAAUCCUCUUACAGUUCGAUUCUCUUUCGUUUUCUGACACGGGCUGCGUCACUGCUGCACUCACAAUUGGCAUUAGCAUUACUCUUCUGCUAAAUCUAACUUUUCCUUCCAGUCCAUAACAAUUCCACUUGUUAACCUCGCCAAUUUUUGUUGUUAUUGAAGUAUAAGACAAGGAAUUUACAUUUUUGGUUGUUUGAGCAGGGAAAGUGCUUCUCCCCGGCCUGUGAACUGCUUGGGGAAGCGGCGAAAAUGGGUAAGGCUUGGACUUAGAGGGCGGUGGUGAUAAGAGGGCCAUUGUUGGGCUUUUGGCAAUUGUUUGGUUUGGGGUUUGCUUGGUUUAUAAAGUAAGUUUGAGUUAAUGGUGGAGAUUUAACGUCAAGUAGGGGGAAAUCCAAGUUGGGCAAAGAAGGUGAUAAGUAACUGAUAAGGCGGUGGGGCAUUUACAAUUUGGGAAUCGAAUUAGUGAGAGGCCAUUGCUUGCGUAGUAGAUUUUUUGGGACCGCCUACCUGGCUACGUCUGUGAACCAAGAUUUUCGGGUCAUUUCCUCCUCCUUUAAUUUUGUCAGAGAUAUUACUAACUUUCUGCGAACGCAGAGUUGGUUUUGUUUUGGGUUUGUGUGGUUCUGUUUUUAUACCUCUCAUGGUGCGUUAUCCAUUUUGAAAUAGUCUCUAUCUACUCUUUCUGCCCAACAAUGGAAAGAAUUAGAUUUUUUACCGAUGGGGUUCAAAAUAUAAAGAGAUAGGUACAAGAGCCCCUUAAGAUAUCCUGGCUCCCUCCCCCCCCCCCCCUUNNNNNNNNNNNNNNNNNNNNNNNNNNNNNNNNNNNNNNNNNNNNNNNNNNNNNNNNNNNNNNNNNNNNNNNNNNNNNNNNNNNNNNNNNNNNNNNNNNNNNNNNNNNNNNNNNNNNNNNNNNNNNNNNNNNNNNNNNNNNNNNNNNNNNNNNNNNNNNNNNNNNNNNNNNNNNNNNNNNNNNNNNNNNNNNNNNNNNNNNNNNNNNNNNNNNNNNNNNNNNNNNNNNNNNNNNNNNNNNNNNNNNNNNNNGCUCCCCCCCCCCCCCCUGAUUUGAAGUGACAAGGCUACAUUAAUAACUGAGUUCACCGUUAAAGUUAUCGGGUUAACUAUAUUAUCUGUUACUCGUUCUUUUUCUAAUAGUAAUGCCAAUUCCUCUGCCACAUUCACAUAGUUGGUUUGUCUCUUGUUUACUUUUUUUUAAUGAUUAAUUGUGAAGAUAAACUCAUUUUUAAGGAAUUUUCGUGAUCUGUGUAUGAAUCGAUGUACUUUCAUUUGUAAUUCAGAGUAGCAGUUUACAGGUAACUGAUUAUUGUUGCUUCAAUAAUGAAGAUCUAGGAAUUAGUCACUUGUUUAUGAUGAGUGACUUGGUCUAACAUGAGCAUUUUAGGUAUCUCUGAGGUACAAAAAGUUGAUAUUCAGGGGAAGGAAAAACUGAUAUAGAUUUUUAGUAGUAAUCUGCUCUAGCAAUUACUUUAUUAAGUUAUUCUAUCACUCACGUAUAAAUAAUCUCCCUAAUAUCUCUAAAAUUAUUAUACCUUACACCUCUCAGCAAACUAUUCCUAAAAGUUCGGAGUUAUAUUAGAACUAGUAGUCUAUUACAGUAUAACCUCACUAAAUUAAUACUUGAUUAAUUAAUAAUCGCUCUAAGAUAAUAAUUUUCUCCGGUCCCGACUUGGGCCAAUAGAAAAAAUCACUCAUUUCGAUAAGAUAAUAAAAUAAUAUAUUUUUAAAAGACUCCUAUAUAAAUAUAUAGUCCCAUUAAUAUUAUAAAUUAAUAAUUCUUUAAAAGUACAAAUAUAUCUAAGAUAAUUGAAUGAAUAUUAUUCUAUUAUGUUCUGUUUUUUGUUAAAAUUUAAAUCUAGUUGAAUUUCAUCUCUAACUUUUCUUAUUGCAUCCAAAAGUUUUGAUGUUGUCUUUUCUAAUUGCACCAUAAAAUUGUGAAGAGUUAUAGAUGUGAUAGGUGUUUCCUUACGCGUAACUGAUUUCAAAGGUAUUGUAUCAUCUUCAACUUUAUCAUCAACAUUAUUUCUCCAAUGAUUCCAAAAUUUGUUUAAAGCUUUGGACCUCUGAACAUGUAUCAUUUUCAUUCAUUCAAUGAGUUAUUAAGGUUCAUUUUAUUGCGGUAAUCGAGAUCAAUAAUCAUGACCUCAAGUUCACGAAUGACAUUUUCACAAGCGGGUUCUUUCAAAUUCUUUGAGAUGUCAUCCCUAAACAAUUUUUUCGGUGUCGAAACACUAUUUAAAUUAAUAAAUAUUAAUUUAUCGAUUAAAUAUUAUCACUAUAAAAUAAUAAUAUUUUAUGGUCUCACCUAUAUUAAUUUAGAGAGAUUUUAGUGUAUAUUCAGCUCUCUUCGUACAGUUCCAGUCUCUUUUUUUUUAUAAUUAUUUUUAUAACUAGAGCUACAUGUGAAUCUAUAAUACUUACAAGACAGGGCACAUAUUAGCAACUAAUUUUUUUUUACUACUUCUUUAGCAUAGUUUCUGCACAAGUUAUUUUCACUCUUUUCAAAGUGAUUCAUAAAUGCUGCACAAUGAACAUGGACGACUUAUUGAUGUAUUUUAGGUAAUCUGAUUGUUGUAAAACUCUUAAUAGGCGUUUGGCCAUGCGAUACCAUAUGAGAUGGAAUCAGCGUUUGGACAUGCGAUUUUAUAUUGAUUUCAUCUCAUAAUUUCAUAUCAUGAGAUGUGAUUCCAUAUUUUCCAAAAGUCAUGAUAUGGAAUUAUACGAGAAUUUCAUAUCAUGAUUUGAGAUAUUUUAAUACAAAAAUUGAUCCACGAGUUUAUAUUUUGUUAAAAUAACCCCCACAUUUAUAUCUACUAACCAUUUAUUUCAUAUGUAAAUAAAAUUUAUAAUCACAUCGCAUUGUCUUGGAAGCACUAUUUUUAUUACUCUUACAAACAUUAUUUUUAUGAAGUGCAUUCUAUAAUGCUUUUAAUUUAUUUUAUGUUCACUAAAAUAAUAUUGAUGUAUUUUUUAUUUGGUAGGAUUGUGUUGGUGCGAUUGAUGGAACAUUUAUAGAAGGGGAGGUUCCCAAAGUGGUGCAACAAGCAUAUCGUAAUCACAAAGGAAGAACAUCACAAAAUGUCUUAUGUGCGCUUGUGAUUUUGAUAUGCGAUUUAUCUUUGUUGCACAUGUUGAACCAACGUCACAAUUUUCAUUUCCGCCACAUGAUAACUUUAAAUUACAUCCUUAGAAUAAAUAUUAUUUAUUUACACAAAGUUGUUUCAUUUACGUCACAUAUGCUUUUAGUAAUUCUUUAUAAAAUGUUUGUUGGUAGAUAAAUAUUAUGUUAUUAAUGCUGGUUUCUGAAACACAAAAGGAUUUUUAGCUCCAUACAAAGGACUACGCUAUCAUUUGCAAGAUUACCGAGGAAGUGAAAGAGAGCCUCAAAAUCCCAAAGAACUGUUUAAUUAUAGGCAUUCAUCUCUGCGCAAUAUGAUUGAACGGACUUUUGGAGCUUGAAAAAAUAGAUUUAGAAUACUGAAACAAGGCAUGAACCAUUAUGAUAUUGAUACACAAGUGAAAAUUGUCAUAGCUUGUGCACUGUUACAUAAUUAUUUGUGAGAAUACCAAAGUACUAAUGAAAUAUUUAUGGUCUAUGAGCAUGAAAAUAUAGUUGCGGAUGAUAUUGACCAACAAAUGGCUCAAAGUAACAAUGUUCGUUCGUCUCCUCGGUCACAUGAUUGAGAAAUGCUAGUUCAACGUGAGGAAAUUGUCUGUACUAUGUUGGAGGAUUAUUAAAGACUAGUCCACUACGAUUUAUGUUCAAUUUUUUUUUAUUAAAUUAAAGUUAGAUGAAACAAUUACUUAAGUGGAGAACAAAUAACUUGUAAUAAUUUAUUAUGCGAUUUUAUAAUUUUUUGUUUAUUUGAUAAGAUUGAAUAAACAAUUGGGGCUAUUUUAAUAGUUUUACAACUUAAGAAAUUUUUAUGUUUAUGAGAAAAUAUAAAACACAAAAAUUUCAAAUCGCAUGUCCAAACAAAACUUCAAUUUCAUCUCAUCUGAUGGGAUUUUUAUGUUUAUGAGAAAACAUACAACACAAAAAUUUCAUAUUGCAUGUCCAAGCAAAACUUCAAUUUCAUCUCAUGAUUUUAUAUCAUGAUGCCAUAUCAUGAUUCUAUAUCGCAUGGCCAAAUGGCCCUUAGCAUUACCCUUAAUUAAACUUAAAAACUUGAUAUAGUUUAGGCUAAUACUCUAUAUAUUUGUGCUUCGAGGAAAGGCUCAAAAUAGUCCCUCAUUUUUGGGUUAAGGCUCAAAGUCAUCCUUGAGUUUUCACAUGAAGCACUAAUAGUCCAUCAUGUUUGUAAUAUUGGUGCACUUUUGAUCCUCGUUCAAAAUUUUACCUAUUUUUUAACAUUGAUUUUAUCCUGGUAUUUAGUGGACACAUCACAACAAUUGUUGGUUGGGAAUUGUUUUUCUUAGUAAAAUUAAAGUAGUUGGGAACUUGUUAUGUUGACGUACAAGUCAGUGAUUUAUAAGUAAAGAAGGAAAAACAAAAGCAGAACCAAUUGUCAAAAUAUAGGAUUACAAGGCACUUGUUUGUUUUUGUAAUGUAAUUCUUAUUUUCGAUUCUCAUACGACAAGUAUCUACUGGUAUAGCUUCAACAUUUAUUAAAUCUUCUUCCGUUUCAAAUUAUUUAUGAAAGCAAAAUUAUUAUUUUUUCCCCAAAUGUUGACUUUUUGAAGUUGUUAAUUUAAUAUUUUUUUAGAUGUCUAUUAGAUUUUCUACUCAUUUUUGUUAAUAGGUUUCAAGGUGAUUUUUAUAAUUGCAUAUAUACUCAUUAAUAAAUAUACAUAUAAAUUGAGUGAACAUUUAACAGAGAGAUAUACCUUAGAUAUAUAUAAGAUUAAACUAAUAAAAAAUUUCCUCAUAAUUAAUACUCCUUAUCUAUUUUUCCAUUUAUAUUAUUUUAAGAAAUCAUAAAUAGGAAGGAUAGUUUUACUAGUUUACCUUAUAAAAAACUUUUUUAACUUUACUAACUUUGUAUACACUUUUAAAAAAUAAUUAUAAUUAUAAGGUUAAAAUGAGAAAAAAUCAAUUCAUUUUACCUUGAUUUUAUAAAUUGACAAGUAAUUUAGAACAUCUAUUAUUAUUAUGUGGACAAUUAAUAUAAGAUACAUCAAAUAUUUCUUAUAGGUGUGUAAGGGAAAAAAAUGCAGAUAAUUUAAAAUGGAGAAGUAUAUGUUUUUGAGAAUAUCCACUACUAAUAUAUAAGAAGGAAUAGGCACACACGUCUCGGUUGACGUGUUUGCUUUCCGUAAAUAUUCACUAAGUUCAAAAUAUCACAUGUGCCACAUAUAUUAUUUCAAAAAUACAUUUAAAAUAUUGUAAAAAUAAUUGACAACAAAAUUAUAAAAUUAAAACAAAAAAAAAGAGAAACUUGCUUAAAUAUACUAUAUUAAGAAAAUAUUUAUCAUUUAUAGUAAUAACAUUUUUCUUUUCACUUGAUCACUUUUAAUACAUUUCUAAUACAAUUUUAAUCCAUAUUACAGAAAACAAUUUAUAAAACACUUAUAAUGCAAGUUUUAUUUAUAAAUAAUAUAUUUAUCACACAUUUUAAUACAAUGUGUCAAUUUCUUACCAAACAAUCAUAACAUAUUUUUAAACAGUUAUAAUACAUAUAUAUUGCAUACAUAAUUAACUUUUAAUACAUAUUGGAAAUUUAUCAUAGUAUUGUUAUGUAUUGUUAUAAAUGGUAAUAAAUAAAAAAGUAUCGCUAAAAUUAGUAAUUAUUUAUUAAAAUGUACUCAUCCAAGUAAUUUUUUCAAAAAAGUAAAUAUAUAAUAAAUUUGGAAGUUAUGAUAGUAGCAAAGCAUGGAAUUAAAAAGAAUUGAUUUGAUAAAAAAGUAGGGUUAAAGAAAGACUAAUUUUGAUAAUUGUGUAUCAAUCCGUACCAUUAAAUGUUCGUUAAUUCAAGAAUUAGUGAUGGAUCUGUUCUUGGACGGAGAAGACUUGAUCAACCCAUGCUAAUAAAGUGUUAAUUCAUGUUGUGUGCGCCGCAAUCCACCUUAAUUAUUGCUUUAUGUAUGAUCCAAGGUGGAUAUCGAUAUCAUGGGCUUCGAAGUCUUAAUCCAACCAUCAACAUGUUUAAAUGAUUAUGAAAAGAAGACUUCAAUUCUUCAAAAUCCAUAAUAAAUUAAAAUGGAUGUUUACAAAGAAAAGACCAAGAUUCAAGAUAUCCACAAGCUCAAAUUAAGUAAAUUGGAUGGUGGGUUGUGAUGGAAUGAUUGAGAUUCCUUCACUCGAUCUCAGUUUUGAGAAUUAGGGAAGGAAGAAUAUCCACAACUCUCAAGAAAUGAACUCUGCAAUAUGAGAAUCAAAUUAAAUAUGAACAUCAAACAUCGGAUGAAAAGGAGAGAAAAAAAAAGAAAAAGACUUUAACCGUGAUUAUAGUCCCAACUCGUGAUGGCGAGAUCAGUUGAGUCCACAAGAAUCACGAGUGUGAUCCUUUAUUGCGAUGGUAGAGUUGCCACAUUUUAUAAUUCGGCCCAAUCAUUUUAAUGCAUAGUUUAAGGAUUUUUUUUUGGAUAUUUAUAGUCCUAAUCAUUUUAAUGCCUAGUUCAAUAAUUGAAUUGGUAAUGAGAAGAUUACUUGAGUUGAGCAAGUGCUUAUUCUAAUAGAUUUAUCCUAUUCGUUCACAUCAUUUGGUACUACUUCUUUUUCUUUCCUUUUGAACUCUUUGGGAAUUUGUAAGACCUUAAAUAUUUUUAGGAUAUAUUAUCCCGUCAAGAUUUAAUUCAUUACUUUAACUUAUUCAAAGAAAAUAGUCUUUAAAAAACAAAAUAUGGUGAAAUAAAGACCCAAGUCCGAGGAUCCGGCUCCCCUCCAUUACCCCUUCCUUUCAUUUCAUCAAAUGCACGUCUAAAUUAGAGACAUGUGUCAUAUUUAAAGUUUAAAGGUCAAACUUAUAAUUAUAUUAACAAAUAAUCAUAAACCAUAGUUAAGUCAACUAAUUUUAGAAAACUACUCUCUAAAUUUGAUAAGAAUUACAAUAUAUUCUAUACAAAAUUUGAUAUUUAUUAAUAUUACUAAUUUCAUAUUAUAUUUUUAUAUUUAAAUAUUAAAUUGUAUGAUAUUUAAGGUGAGAAUCAACUAAACAAUUUAUGUACUAGUAAACUUUGCUCUUGAAAUAUAUAUAUAUACUAUGUUGAGAAAUAAACAAAAAAGUUAAGAAUUAUCAGUGUGUAAAAAAACCAUAAAAUAGAAGACACGAAAUAAAAAUAAAAAUAAAAAGAUGAAAGGUUUUUAGAAUUAAACGUGAAAUACCAAAAUUAUUCCAAGGAGAAAAUGUGGCUAUUGUGUUUGAAGGGGAAAAAUAUAUGUUUUUAAAAAUAAAUAUUCUUUUUUUUUUGUGAAAUAGAAGAUAAAAUUGUUUUAAAUGCAAAUGUUUUUGAAGAUUAUUGUUUAUCACACUAAAUAUAAACGUUUCAUGUUCUACAAUUUUAAUAUUUAAAUGUAAAUUAAAAAUCUAAGAUGAAAUUAAUGAUAUUAAUAAAUAUCAAAUUUUGGAUGAAAUAUAUUGUAAUUCUUACCAAAUUUGAAGAGUAGAUUUCUAAAAUUAGUUAAUUUAACUAUGGUUAUGAUAUUUGUUAAUGUAAUAUAAUCUUGACCUUUAAACAUGACACAUGUCUCUAAUCUAGACGUAUACUUGACAAAAUGAAGGGAAGAGAUAAUGGAGGAGAGCCGGAAGUCCGAACGCUUUCAUAAUUUCAAUUUUCAUACAUGCUGCUAACGUGAUUAAAAAAGCAAGAUAAACACGCAACUUGUUUCCUUUUUAAUUUUUGGUUGGGGGUGGGUGAAGACUUAUAUAUGUGUUGAGUGUUGUAACUUCCGUCCACUAUUCAUUUUUAUUUGUCAAAUAUUUUUUAAUUUAAUUUAUACUUUUACUUAUUAUUUUUGAUAAAUCAAAAAAGUACAAUUUUUUUCUUUCUAUAAUAUCUUCAAUUAAUUUACAUUGAGUUAAUAUCUUUGAAAAUUAUAGUGGAUAAAUAUGUUUGAGACUCAAUCAAUUAAUAGAGAUAAAAUGAUGAACUCAUUAUACUAAAUUACUAAUUAUGUUUUCUUAAUAAGUGAGUCAAAUCAAAAUUUGACCAGUAAAUCUGAACAGAGGGAGCGACUUAUUUAAGCUUAUUAGUUUUUCUAUUCCCACUCUUCAAUUUUACUUACUAUUUUUUAAAUAGAUUUUUACUUACUUAUCAUUUUUAACAUAUUAAAUAAAUCAAAAAGACAAUCUUUUUCCGUCCGUUUAUUUUUACUUGUCAAUGUUUGACUUGAUACACUCAUUAAGAAAAUAAUUAUUGCAAUAUAGGUAUUUUAUCAAAUUAUCCCUAUUAAUUGAUGAUUAGUAUUAGGUCUUAAAAAAUAAUUUGAAGAAUAAGUAUUUAAUGCUGAGGGUAAAACAUGAAUAAAAAAAUUAUUAUCUUUUUUAUAUAUGUCAAAGUAAAAACUAAAAUCUAUUUUACUAAUAAUUGAAAAGUGAACGAAGAGAGUAUUACUUUUAGCGUUAAUUAGUAAAAUAAUUAUGUUAAUUAUUACUAUUUGUUAAAGUAGGUGGAAAAUCCAGAGUUAGACGACUAAAAGUGAAGAGUAAAGUAAUUGAAAUAAAGAUGCACAAAAAGGCGCAGUUGCAAUCGCAAAGAACCCAUAAUUGGAAAUAUAGGUGCUCUAAUAGCCUACGAUUUCACCAAGCCAGAGUCGUCUUUAGUUAGAUGUCAAGAUUACUAAAAUCUACCCUACAUUAGGAGAAUAUAAAAGGGAUCUACAGAAAGCUGCUAACAUUAAAAUUAAGAAAAGCAUGGAGAGUUUGGUGGGUGAGUGGGAAGCUGCAGUUGCAGUUUGCAAAGUACCUAAUUGGAACAGAGGUGCACUAAGACAAGACCCUAUAAUUGGACCAAAGCCAAAUUUAUCUUUACAAUUCAACCUAAAAUCCACCACCACACAUUUGAGUAGAUACAUUUUAUUUUAAUCUGAAGAAACACUUUGGUAUUUCACUCCAUUUUCAUGCUUAGGAGAGUAUUCCACCCCAAUACCAUUAGCAGCAGAUAGUUUUGUCCUAGUCUCCACAUAGUUUCCGGCCAUAGAAUCAAACAAAAUGCCAGCGCCAAUGCCAACAGCCAAAUCAAUAGUGUAAUGGCCCCUAGUGCUUAACAACCUCACAACUUGCAAUACAUUCAAUGCGUCAAAUACUCUAGCCAUUUCCCAUCUCUGCAUACGUUUCAUAUCCAGCGAAGCAAUAACGGAGGCCGCAACAUGCCCUGAAUAAAACAAGAAAAACGACACAUUCCCUACUGGGAAAUCGACCCCUGACCCCAAGAAAUCCUACAAUUCAGAAAGUGAUAUAUCACUGCAUUUUUCGAAAUUUAGUAUUCAUAGCAUUAAAUUGAAUCAUACAUUCAAAUAAUUCAGAACAUGGAGGUUUAAUGGUAGAGAAUGACACUGUACACAGUACACUAGUCAGUUUCAAAUGUGGGUGGUGCUAAUGUAAUGUCCAACUACAAGCAGUAUAACAUUAAAUUAGCUAGGACAAGUCCAAGCUAUUUGUUAGACAGCUAUAUAUGCUGAUUAAGGCUAAAGUUAUAAUAUGGCCCCCCGGCCCCCAAUAUGACUUUAUGGAAAAAAAUAUUAGUAUUAAUCAACAUUUAUUCAACAUUAAUAUUUCUGUUAUAUAGAAUAUUAUUUGAAUACUAAUUUUACUUGUCCAUUUUAGCAAAUGAAGAUAAAUUUAUUACUCAUUUUCUUCCAAUACUACUCGGAUUAAAUUAAAUUUUCAAAGCUUAUUUAUAAAUAUUUCUCAUGUAAGUUAAUAUGGACCAAGUAAAAUGAAACGGGGAGCCUUCUAUGAGCACGAGGCUACACGAAAGUUCAAGAUAGUCCCAUCCAUACUAGUAUGUAAGUCAAAUGUAUGGUUAGCUUGUGAUCUACGCGAAUAAAGCGGAAAUAAUGCAUUUUUAAGUGGUGAAUUACGUCAAAUUAUUAAGUUAUUCAAAUAUUAAUAUUUUUAGAAAUAAGCCUUCUCAAAAUAUAAAAUUGUAAUUUAUAAUCUUAAAAAUAAAUAUGAAAUUUGUAAUCUAAAAAAAACAAGAGAUAGUUACCUGUUACAACUAGUCUACACUUGAUAAAGGUGAUUUGCUAAAGUUAUUGAAACUCUCUUUUAAAAGUUUUUAAAGCAAAAGGCAUCUAUCUAGCUGUAAAGAAAGAGCUUGUAUACAGGGGUGGAUUAAUAGAAAAAAGGGAAAGUAAAAGUACCUCCGGCAACGGCAAUUGUGUAGCAUACCCGAGAAUCCCUCUGAAUGUGAACAUAAACAGCGCCGAUAUUGUCGCUCGAGGCCGUCCUUCAAUUAGAAAAGUCCCCAAAAUGUACGCCGUUUGCAUCGCCACAAACACCUAAAUUAAACCCAAAUGAAAAAAAAAAUUGAAUGAAUUUUGAUUAAUGCUAAAAUUUUGUCGAUUAAAACUGUAGAUCCAGUUCAUAACUAGAUCGAUAACACCGUCAUGCACCGAUUUGGUGAUGUGCGUAGUAGCGUAUAGCGUACCGUGUUUAGUCCAGCAAAAAGAGUGUUGAGAGCGGGUUUAGCAGCAAGCAAUCGAUUAAGAGGAACUGUAACAAUAAAUCCCAGAUCGAAAGGCGGAGCAGAAGCUGGAAUCAUACGAAGAGUAUAUUCCACUCCCAUGAAAAACAACAGUGAAGCAGCGAAGAUACACGGUAUCGGAUGGUACUUCACUACACCGAAUACAUCCUCCAUCCUCCACUUCAUGAAAUACGCAUUACCUAACCACCACCCAUAACCACCAACCUCCGUUGCCGUUGCCGUUGCCGAUGCCGAUUUCUUCUUCAUUUCUGUAACGUCACCUUUCCUUUCAGUGCUGUUCCUUUUGCUGAGAGUGGAGGAAGAACUGUUCCGAUUAUGAAAUGUGUCUCCGUUCAUCGUUGCCGGAAAUUGAGACGGAGAAAAACAUGGUGAUUGUGGAUCUAGUGAAUGUGUAUAUAUAUAUGGGGAUCAAAUGACGGAGUUUACGAAGGUUGUUGUCGUAGAUAUUUAAUUUGGCGAUGAUACGUAUAUCAGAGAAAUCAGAGGGGAUGGGAAUAUCGUUUCCGUUUCAAUUACAAGUGUUGCAAAUGCAAGACAAUCGGCAAACCAACUUUUUGACUAAAAUGCCAAAUAGGGACUAUCCGGGGUAAUUUGGUAUUAUAGUUCACGAAAUUAUAAUUUUUAGAUUAAUAUUUGGGAUAAUUUCAAACACCUCCCCUCAAGUUUAACCUUAUAACACUAAUUUCCCUUCUAGUUUCAGAUAUUUCCUUAUUUUUCACAUUUAUGUAACCAAACAAAUUAGUUUUAAUGCUAAAACCCAUCCAAUAUUCCAAAGUUGCCCUUUCUUGACAUUAUUUUUUAUUAAUCAUUAAAACUCAUUCAAUAUUUCAAAGUUGCCCUUUCUUGACAUUAUUUUUUAUUAAUUUUUUAAACGGAAAUUUCCAAAAUAUUUUAACUGACAUAAAAUUAUCUACUGAUGGUGCUACCAUCUUUCAUUAUAUACAUCUAUGUAUUUCCUUGUAAACUAUCUUCUUCUUUUUAUCAAACACAACAUUAUAAACUAUCGAACUUGCUAAUUGGUGGAACUUCUUAAACAUAUUAAAUUUAGUUGUAAUUUUUACGGUUAGUACAUAUGCAAUAUUUUAAGUACAAAAAGAAUGUUGAAAAUUUAUUAUAAAAAUAUUGUUUAGGGUCGGAAAAUAUUGGUAAUUAUGUGCAGAAAAUUUUAUAUAUAUAUAUAUAUAUAUAUAUAUGAACAUAAUUUUUUUUCUUAAAUCUAAAAAAUUAUCAAACUAAACAUUUAUUAUCGCAUGUCAAAUGAAAGAAAUAAUGUUUAUACAAAUAUUUGGAGGUCAAGUAUGCAGGUUGCACUUUUCUAUCCAAAAAUGAAUUUACCCAUUGAUUUAUUUUUAUCGUUUAGAAUCCAAGUUCAAGCUAAAAAGGCUCAAAUAUAGUCUUAAAAACUGGAAUGAAAUAUUGCUUAGGUUAUUAAUCAUAUAGAAGUAUUAAAUAAUUAUAUUAAUGUCAUAAAAGGGUAUUUUUGGAUUGUGGUUGAAAGAUUAUCAUUUAAAUAAGUUUGAUUACAAAAAUUUAAAAACAAGAGAGGUGAGUGUAAUAUCUGAAACCACAAGGAAAGUAAGUGUUAUAGGGUUAAACGUGAGGGGAGGUCUCUGAAAUUAUCCCUUAAUAUUUUAUUUUUAAAAAAUAACUCAAAUUAUUUUGGAGGAGGUUGCAACAAAUAUUAGUUGAAAUUAAUAAAUAAUGGAUAUUUUUUAUAAAAUAUAAAAGUUAAGGGUACUUUUUGAAUUUUUUAAAAUUUUCAAAUAUUAAAACUUGGCUCAAAUACUAGUAGUUUUUUUCUAAUAUUUGAGAAUUUGGUAUACUUGACAAAUAUAUUUACCAAAUUAUAUGACCAAACACCACUUUUCAAGUUUUUUCGGUGGGGCCAAACGGGUAAAUAUACAGGUUUAGCAUGGAAUCACACAAAAGUGGUGAGCUGUUUCAAUACUUGUGGACUCAAAAGUAGGGAUUUUUUUUAUUUUAGUAUACAGUCUAACAAAUUCAUCUGAUCCUACGUCCUUAAUUUAAUUUUAAAUUCAUCUAACACAUAUUACCCUUAAGGUCCUAAAAAUUUCUAAAAAAAAAAAAAGUUGAAGAAUAUUCAAAUAUAUAAUCAUAAUUUUGUCACAAUCCCAAAUAAAUGAAGAUUCAGUAUAUGAAUGAAAACAAUUAAAUUUCUUUUAGAUCAACGUACAAAAUAUAUCUAUCUCUACUUUUUUAUUCUUUUAAAGAAAUAUAUUGCAGAGUCUUAGUCAUAAACCCGUAUGUAUAAAACUUUAUUCUUUCAAUAUCUCAAUGUAAAUGCAGAUUAAAAUUUUGAUAAGUUAUUUCUUGUUUUUCUAGAACACUUUUAAAAAGAAAAUACAAUAGAAAAACGACAAAUAUCUCAAACCACAUGAAAUAGUAAUGUUUUUUUGUUGAUUAUAAAUAUUAAAUUAAUCUAGAGAGUAGACACUGAGGUCCCUAGCAUUUAUUAAUAUAGUAUAUUAUAACAAGGAAUUAACUGUACAAUACCUUCGAACUUGGUUGUCAUUAUUUAAUUCGUUUCUACAUUUUUGUCUCCAGUCUUAUUCCGAUAUGUUGGGCGUUGGCACAAUGCAUUAACUGGUCGGUAUAUCCAAUCAUGUGACCGUCUAUAUGCUGACGCAUAUCUAAGGAAUUUCCUCGAGUUUACGUGAACUCAUACUUUCCUCUCUAAAUCAUGUAUAGUAUUGUCAUAUUUGUAAAAAAAAAAAAAAAACUUUAAUAUAAGAGUUGUUAAGUAUACACUUUAAUAUAAGAGUUGUUAACCUACACUUUUAAGUAUACAUUAUAUAUAUGUGAUGAUUAGGUGCAUCUCUCUUUAAGUGAGGCUAGAAAGUGUCCGACUAAGUUAAUCCAAAAAGGCAAGGAGUAAAUCAUAUGGGAUGUUUCAACUUUUACCAGCAGAAGCAUAGUUAUCCACUUUGAGAUGUGAUGCUGAAACAGACCAAGUAGAAAGGACACAAAAUUAACAAGACACUUCUCUGGCAAUUCAAGACGUAAAUAGGCUGGAGACGAUUCAUGAAAAACUGGUUAAAUUCUACAGGCUGAUAACUGAUUAAUGCAUUUGCGUAACUCGAGCACCUAUGUGUAGAGUUACGCAAAUGCAUUAGCUUUGAUCAAGCUUAUUGUUGCGUUAAUGUUCAUCUAGCCGGCAUGACUGUGUAUUUGAGAGAGAGAGAGAGAGAGAAAACAACUGACUUGCUUGAGCUCUUAAUAAUUACACUGCCAUAGUUUAGUGCUUGAACAGAAACAACUUAACAGGCAAAAUUUCUCAGAGGUUGAACUGAAUCCCUAAUCUACCUAUAAUUAUCAACAUUUUGUCUUUCUUUGAAUCCUUCUUUUAACUGAAUACUGAUCUUCCAUACUGUCUCAGCUUCCACAGGAGACACUGCCAAACUUCUUAUCACUGGCGUCAAGAGGUUGUAUCCUAGAUCUGAAAAUCUACAGCUCCCACCGAAAAUAUAGCACAGGAGCAUUUGCAUCAGAGAGCCCACUGCAGACCGCUACCUUGAUGCUUGAUCAAGACCAGCGGCAGCAGAGCUAAUGCCAGGGGUAACACCAUUUUCAUUUGGAGGUGGUGUACCCCAUUUACCUUCUGACUCUAGAGGCUCAAGCACAUAAACUCCACCAUCAGUAAGUCCUACUGCGCAUUGGUUUGAUUCAGAUGGAUGAGCAGCAACGACAAGUGGAUAUACUCUGGAGC
rnacentral:lncRNA from 1 species